rnacentral:lncRNA from 1 species
AAACAAAUAUCCUCGAAUUCCCACUAGAUGGCGCUAUUAGAAUGGAAACGACUUAGUUUUUCUUCGGUCAUAGUAUAUAUCUCCAUAAAAUCUUCAUUUUGAAAUCCAUCUCAGCAUGUUAUUUUGGCUUGUCAAGCAGGUCUGCUUCCUGCUGAACUAAUGGAUUGGGAUGAUGUAGUAUUUAGGGAAAAGAUUACCCAAUGUUUCCCAAGAGAGCCCAGAGGACUCUAGGCAAAACAGCCAAGAGACAUUUUAUCCACUUCUGAUCCUAGCCAAUUUCUACCUGACAUUUUUGAUACCCUUACGCUUCUCCAUGGACAUGUAGGGGAGACCCCACAGAGACAAUAUCUUUGAACUGAGUGAGAGGCCCCGUGCAUGCCUUUUCUUCCUAGUCCUGUGUGCUGACGAAGGAAGCUGACGCCCUCAGCCGAUUGCUGACCAUUGCCAGCUAACUCAUCAGUGGUGAUUUAUCCAGCGGCUUUCAAAGUGCAAUUUCUGGACUAGCAGCAUCAUUUGAGAUUCCUUAGAACCUCACAUUCUUCCCAAGCCCCCUGAAUUGGAAAUUCUGGGGCUGGACCACUGCAACCUGCAGUUUCACCAGGCUUCGAGGUAGACCUGAUGUUCAGAAACCAUAAACAAGGUCUUCGGGCUCUUCACAAACCAUCCCUAUCCUCCUGUUUGACCUGACAUCGCUCUUGAAAGCCCUCAAAGAACAGCCUCAAAGAACACAGCCUCGAAGGGAAGGGCCAUAUUUGUGGGCCUGUCUAACAAUUAAGAGUGACCACAUGGAAUGGGGGAUGAAAGGGUUAAAGAAGAACAAAUAUUGAACACAGCUUUUCUAUGAACAAACUGCAGGCAGCUGCUGCUUUGCAAGAAAAACCCUUUGAAAAGAUUCAGCACGUUGCCAUGGAGAACAUCCCACUGAAGGAAUGUAUAGAAGUAGCAGGGUUAACUGAGUGCCUUCCAUCUUCCCUCCAAGGGAUCUGCAAUGAGAUGGGAGAAGGCAACAGGCUGUGUGGGAACCACUGAAGCUGGGAUGGCAGGGAAAGAACAUCUUAGGCUAACUCUUCAAGCCUUGCUGUCACAUUUGCUUUUGAGUCUAUGGUGUCAGCUGCCUACCAGUUGCUUUCAUCUCUAGAAAUCUGUGACUUGCAGUAUGACAAGAACAAAAGGUGACAAUACAAAGGACAAAGGGCAAGGAAUACAGACGGAGAAGCCGCUUAGAGUCUAGGAUGGCAGAGGUUCUCUUGAUCAUUUCAUUUUUGAGCGCUUGUAGAGCUUUGGUGUACCAGAGGUGCUUGAACAGCUUACCACACCACAGAUGAAUGGCCUUUGGAUUUCUCCUAAGAAAAUGUGGCUACCUGAAAUUCAACUCCAUUUUCUGGUCUUCAAUAUUUCUUUUGUGUUCAGUUUGCCAGCUGAGGAGAAGUGGCUAAGCAUAGCCUGUUACUGAUGCUAAAGCCCAAGUUCUGAACCUAACAACUCCAGCAACAUGAUCCUGUUUCAAGAGACAAAAAAGUGACUAAUGAAAGAAAACAAUUGAUGUGCUAUGUAGAGUUUAAAAGAAGGUAAAGAGAAUAAAUUAAAAGCAACAACUCUCUUCUUGACAA